rnacentral:rRNA from 1 species
AUUGAACACUGGCGGCAGGCUUAACACAUGCAAGUCGAGCGGGGUGAUGGUGCUUGCACUAUCACUUAGCGGCGGACGGGUGAGUAAUGCUUAGGAAUCUGCCUAUUAGUGGGGGACAACAUCUCGAAAGGGAUGCUAAUACCGCAUACGUCCUACGGGAGAAAGCAGGGGAUCACUUGCGACCUUGCGCUAAUAGAUGAGCCUAAGUCGGAUUAGCUAGUUGGUGGGGUAAAGGCCUACCAAGGCGACGAUCUGUAGCGGGUCUGAGAGGAUGAUCCGCCACACUGGGACUGAGACACGGCCCAGACUCCUAUGGGAGGCAGCAGUGGGGAAUAUUGGACAAUGGGGGGAACCCUGAUCCAGCCAUGCCGCGUGUGUGAAGAAGGCCUUAUGGUUGUAAAGCACUUUAAGCGAGGAGGAGGCUCUUUUGGUUAAUACCCAAGAUGAGUGGACGUUACUCGCAGAAUAAGCACCGGCUAACUCUGUGCCAGCCGCCGCGGUAA